rnacentral:rRNA from 1 species
AUUGAACGCUGGCGGCAGGCUUAACACAUGCAAGUCGAACGAGAGGCGGACGGGUGAGUACUGUCUGGGAAACUGCCCGACGGAGGGGGAUAACAACUGGAAACGGUAGCAAAAAUCGCAUACCAUCGUAGGUGCCCAGAUGGGAUUAGCUUGUAGGUGAGGUAACGGCUCACCCAGGCGACGAUCUCUAGCUGGUCUGGGAGGAUGACCAGCCACACUGGGACUGAGACCCGGCCCAGACUCCUACGGUAGGCAGCAGUGGGGAAUAUUGCACAAUGGGCGCAAGCCUGAUGCAGCCAUGCCGCGUGUAUGAGGAAGGCCUUCGGGUUGUAAAGUACUUUCAGCGGGGAGGCGUUACCCGCAGAAGAAGCACCGGCUAACUCCGUGCCAGCAGCCGCGGUAAUAC